rnacentral:rRNA from 1 species
GACGUAGGAUGCAAGCGUUGUCCGGAUUUAUUGGGCGUAAAGAGUUCGUAGGUGGUUUGUUAAGUCUGGUGUUAAAUGCCGAAGCUCAACUUCGGACCUGCACUGGAUACUGGCAGACUUGAGUACGGUAGAGGCGAGCGGAAUUCCCAGUGUAGCGGUGAAAUGCGUAGAUAUUGGGAAGAACACCGGUGGCGCAAGCGGCUCGCUGGGCCGUUACUGACACUGAGGAACGAAAGCUAGGGGAGCAAAUGGG